rnacentral:rRNA from 1 species
AGAGCGAACGCUGGCGGCAGGCCUAAACAUGCAAGUCGAACGGACCCUUCGGGGUUAGUGGCGGACGGGUGAGUAACACGUGGGAACGUGCCUUUUGGUUCAGAACAACUCAGGGAAACUUGAGCUAAUACUGAAUAAGCCCUACGGGGAAAGAUUUAUCGCCAUUAGAGCGGCCCGCGUUGGAUUAGCUAGUUGGUGAGGUAAAGGCUCACCAAGGCUACGAUCCAUAGUUGGUCUGAGAGGAUGAUCAGCCACACUGGGACUGAGACACGGCCCAGACUCCUACGGGAGGCAGCAGUUAGGAAUCUUGCGCAAUGGGCGAAAGCCUGACGCAGCCAUGCCGCGUGAAUGAUGAAGGUCUUAGGAUUGUAAAAUUCUUUCAGUGGGAAGAUAAUGACUGUACCCACAGAAGAAGCUCCGGCUAACUUCGUGCCAGCAGCCGC